rnacentral:rRNA from 1 species
CCUACGGGAGGCAGCAGUGAGGAAUAUUGGUCAAUGGGCGCGAGCCUGAACCAGCCAAGUCGCGUGAGUGAAGAAGUAUCUCGGUACGUAAAGCUCUAUCAGCAGGGAAGAUAAUGACGGUACCUGACCAAGAAGCCCCGGCUAACUACGUGCCAGCAGCCGCGGUAAUACGUAGGGGGCAAGCGUUAUCCGGAUUUACUGGGUGUAAAGGGAGCGUAGACGGCAGCACAAGUCUGGAGUGAAAUCCCAGGGCUUAACCCCGGAACUGCUUUGGAAACUGUGCGGCUGGAGUGCAGGAGGGGUAAGCGGAAUUCCUAGUGUAGCGGUGAAAUGCGUAGAUAUUAGGAGGAACACCGGUGGCGAAGGCGGCUUACUGGACUGUAACUGACGUUGAGGCUCGAAAGCGUGGGGAGCAAACAGGAUUAGAUACCCGAGUAGUC